rnacentral:lncRNA from 1 species
UUUCCUCCUUCAUCUGUUGGAGCGGUGGUUGAAAGGCGGAUCAUGCAGAUCAAUGAAUCUCUGAGGCGGCCCGCUGGGUGUGGGUGCUUCUCUCGCUUUGGAUUUUUCUGUGUAGUCCAGUUCAGUUUUAGAAUUGUGUCUCCGUGCGAGUGUCCUUCUCGGUUUGGUAACAGGCACUGGUGGCAGCGCGGUCAGGUCAGUGAGACA